GAUGAACGCUGGCGGCGUGCCUAAUACAUGCAAGUCGAGCGAACAGACGAGGAGCUUGCUCCUCUGACGUUAGCGGCGGACGGGUGAGUAACACGUGGAUAACCUACCUAUAAGACUGGGAUAACUUCGGGAAACCGGAGCUAAUACCGGAUAAUAUAUUGAACCGCAUGGUUCAAUAGUGAAAGACGGUUUUGCUGUCACUUAUAGAUGGAUCCGCGCCGCAUUAGCUAGUUGGUAAGGUAACGGCUUACCAAGGCAACGAUGCGUAGCCGACCUGCGAGGGGGAUCGGCCACACGGGAACUGAGACACGGUCCAGACGCCUACGGGAGGCAGCAGUAGGGAAGCUGCCGCAAUGGGCGAAAGUCUGACGGAGCAACGCCGCGUGAGAGAUGAAGGUCUUCGGAUCGUAAAACUCGGUUUUUAGUGAAGAACAAAUGUGUAAGUAACUAUGCACGUCUUGACGGUACCUAAUCAGAAAGCCACGGCUAACUACGUG
rnacentral:rRNA from 1 species